AACGAACGCUGGCGGCAGGCUUAACACAUGCAAGUCGAACGGUUGUAACAAUACAGCAGUGGCAGACGGGUGAGUAACACGUGGGAACCUUCCUAGGGGUACGGAACAACUCAGGGAAACUUGAGCUAAUACCGUAUACGUCCGUGAGGAGAAAGAUUUAUCGCCCUUAGACGGGCCCGCGUCGGAUUAGGUAGUUGGUGGGGUAACGGCCUACCAAGCCUACGAUCCGUAGCUGAUCUGAGAGGAUGAUCAGCCACACUGGGACUGAGACACGGCCCAGACUCCUACGGGAGGCAGCAGUGGGGAAUCUUGGACAAUGGGCGCAAGCCUGAUCCAGCCAUGCCGCGUGAGUGAAGAAGGCCUUAGGGUUGUAAAGCUCUUUUGCCAGGGACGAUAAUGACGGUACCUGGAGAAUAAGCCCCGGCAAACUUCGUGCCAGCCGCCGCAGUAA
rnacentral:rRNA from 1 species